UUUCGGUUUGAAUUCGCUCGAUUUUAGUGAUAGUUCACUAUCAUUUUUUAACUGAGGACAUGGUCCUUGAUUGAGUGGAGUUGUGGAUCCCAAUUUUAAUUGAUGGCGGUGAUGGUGCCAAUCCGUCGUUCAUGUGGCUUUGCUGUAUUGGGAUUAGGACCGUGUAAAUCGUGGAUCUAUUGUGGAUGGAGCACCGCCUAAAAAUCAUGUUGAUUGGAUGAUUUGCACCAUCUGAUUACUCUUAUUGAAUUUCACCACUGACCCUCGAUGUUUUAAUGGACUUGCUUGAUUGUCUUGAGAUUUAAAAGAGUUUCGUGGUUAGUAUUUCUAUGGUUUUGUUUAAAAAGUGAUUUUUUUCUUUCAAAAAAAAAAUCUGACUUUUUUUUUUCUUCCAUAACAGAGAAAAGUUUUAGAUGAUAGGUAUAUGGUUUCGAAGGGAUUGUCGAUGAAUGAUGCAAAGAUGAAAAGUGAUUUUUAUUACAAAUAACGCAAUGUGCAUACAUAGCUGUCUAAUUUCUGCCCCACGAUGGGAUGCAAGCAUUGAAUUUUGGUUUGUUUUAUUUCUGAUGGUUGUGAGGAUACAUUUUCUUAGAUCUAUUUUAAGGAUGUCUCCUGUUCUAAACCAGAACUUAAGCUGCAAAGCUCAGCAGGUUCGCCAAUUAUUGAUCCCCAUCUCUCUCCAGAUGGAAGUAUGCUCGCUUACGUAAGAGAUGAUGAGCUGCAUGUUUUGAAUUUGUCAUAUGGCGAGCAUAAACAGUUAACAUUUAGUGCUAGAGGAAAUGCAAAGGUUAUUGAGCUUCCAAUCAAGCACCCUGAAUUGUUUGAGAGUUUUAGAAUAGCUCAGCCAAAGGUAUUUCUGACUGUGCCGCUGUACCAUGCCUUUACUCUUUUCAUGCGUCUUCCUUUUCACCAGUCAAAGGUAUUUUACUCCUCAACAAUGUGAAAAAGGAGAGCUGCUUUUUUCCAGUUCCUUAGGCAAAAGAGUGCAUUCUCUGAGUGGUGGAGAGGGCCAAUGUGCCAGUAAUUUAUCUGUCUAUAGAUGCAACUGAAAGUGAAACUGAUCUUCUACAGGCACUAACCAUGCAAAAUAGCAAGACCAUACCUCUAGUGAAAAGACCAGGUCACAGCUCCUCAAAAUGGGAUCCAUUGUUGUAAAAAGGAGAGCUUCUUUUUACUCAUUUCUUUCUAUGAACUAAAGAGUAGAUAAAAGGAAAUAAAUUAAACAAACCCAAACAAGAUUUAUAAUGAUCAAUUACUCAUAAGCAUAUAAUCAACUCAAUCCAGACUUGGGUCAAGCAGUCACUAGGUUUUUGUAGAACCUAGUGACAAAGGAGUGCUUGAAGAACUCAUUCCUGACCCAACUGAACUCCGAGUCAGAAUGUCUUGAGUCUGUGACAUGAUCUGACAUUUAUUUAUUUAUUAUCUAUGGACUCACAAAUUAGCCAUUUAGAUUUUCUCAUAACAUAAUGUGUGGAAUUUCAGAAACCUUCUCAUAACUACAUUUUUAUAUGGGUGAUUUUUGUUGGGAAGUAUCCUUGCACCUACCUGGGUUUAAGCUAUAUGUAUGCCUUUUUGUCCCCGAGGUUAAAGCCAUGCUGCAUAAGAUGAUCUGUGCCAUGGCGAAUGUGUUCAUUGGGUCAUCAGACUCGAGAUUCAUUGAGGACAUAUUCCGGCUCCGGAAGGACUAGGGAUUAGCUUUGGUUUGUGAUGAGUAUAUGUGCCAAGGCGAGCAACCUAAUUUCAUAGCUGACUCGGAAUGAAUUAAGAAGAGUGGUGGUCAUGCUUUUGGUGUGCUUUCAUUCUUUUCACAUCAUCAAUGGCUAUGAUACAUAGCUCACCAAAUAUCGACAGAAGAAACCAGUCCCUUAGAAACAAUGGCAAUCAUUGGCAAUAAGGAGAUCAUUGACAUUAACCAAGGUAUGUUAGCUACUUAGAGUGGUCUAAAAAUAAUAAUAAUAAAAUAAACUAGUAUACAUGUGGGUCA